CUUUCAGUUAAGUGUGGGGCCCUACCAAAAUCAGGGUCCAUUUUGGUCAAUUUCACUGUCAGAGGAUUUUAGAAAUCAUAAAUUUCAUGAUUUUGGCGAUUUAAAUCUGACAUUUCACGGUGUUGUCAUUGUCGGGGUCCUGGCCCAGAAAGGAAUUGUCGGGAGGGUCCCAAGGAUAUUGUAGGGGGCGGUUGCGAUACUGCUGCACUUAUUUCUGUGCUGCUGCUGCUGGUGGCGGC